CCUACCCUUGACAUGUCAGGAAGUCCGCAGAGAUGUGGAUGUGCUCGAAAGAGAAGCCUGAACACAGGUGCUGCAUGGCUGUCGUCAGCUCGUGUCGUGAGAUGUUGGGUUAAGUCCCGCAACGAGCGCAACCCUUGUCAUUAGUUGCUACGAAAGGGCACUCUAAUGAGACUGCCGGUGACAAACCGGAGGAAGGUGGGGAUGACGUCAAGUCCUCAUGGCCCUUAUGGGUAGGGCUUCACACGUCAUACAAUGGUCGGUACAGAGGGCUGCCAACCCGCGAGGGGGAGCUAAUCCUUUAAAACCGAUCGUAGUCCGGAUUGUAGUCUGCAACUCGACUGCAUGAAGUCGGAAUCGCUAGUAAUCGCGGA
rnacentral:rRNA from 1 species